UCUGCGCGUAAACCACGUCGGGUGAAUCGGGGGGCUGCGGGCAAGCGCGGGCGGGUGUGGAUGCGAAAGUGCGUGUGGGUGCAGAGUCGGCCGUUGGUGCGAGAGGUUUCGAGUGAAUUUUCUGGUGCGUCUAUAGUGUGAUUUACAACACCAUGGUGUGACUCAACGUGAGCACAGCUUGAGGAGACGCAGCAGAGGGUUGCGGCUGGUGCAACCAGAUCUCUUGGACAUGGCGUGGGGUACCGAGCUCUGGGACCAGUUCGAGAACAUCUCGUCGCACACGCAGAAGAGCCUAGAGUUUCUGGAGAAGUACGGCCGUCUGGUGCGCGACCGCUCCGACGUCGAGAACCGCUACGCCGCCGACCUGAGAAGCCUUGUAAAGAAGUACCC